UACGAAGGGUGCAAGCGUUAAUCGGAAUUACUGGGCGUAAAGGGUGCGUAGGCGGAUCGUUAAGUCGGGGGUGAAAUCCUGGAGCUCAACUCCAGAACUGCCUUCGAUACUGGCGAUCUUGAGUCCGGAAGAGGUGAGUGGAACUCCUAGUGUAGAGGUGGAAUUCGUAGAUAUUAGGAAGAACACCAGUGGCGAAGGCGGCUCACUGGUCCGGUACUGACGCUGAGGUGCGAAAGCGUGGGGAGCAAACAGGG
rnacentral:rRNA from 1 species